AUUGAACGCUGGCGGCAGGCCUAACACAUGCAAGUCGAGCGGAGCGGCGGACGGGUGAGUAAUGCCUGGGAAUCUGCCUGGUAGUGGGGGAUAACGCCCGGAAACGGGCGCUCAUACCGCAUACUAUCAGAUGAGCCUAGGUUGGAUUAGCUAGUUGGUGGGGUAAAGGCCUACCAAGGCGACGAUCCGUAACUGGCCUGAGAGGAUGAUCAGUCACACUGGAACUGAGACACGGUCCAGACUCCUACGGGAGGCAGCAGUGGGGAAUCUUGGACAAUGGUCGAAAGUCUGAUCCAGCAACGCCGCGUGUGUGAAGAAGGUCUUCGGAUUGUAAAGCUCUGUAAGUUGGGAGGCGUUACCAACAGAAUAAGCACCGGCUAACUUCGUGCCAGCAGCCGCGGUAAUUC
rnacentral:rRNA from 1 species